AACUAACGCUAGCGGCGUGCCUAACACAUGCAAGUCGUACGAGAAAGUUGGCUUCGGCCGAUGAGUAAAAGUGGCGCACGGGUGAGUAAUGCGUGGAUAAUCUGCCCUUUAGUUGGGAAUAACGUACCGAAAGGUGCGCUAAUACCUGAUAAUACUGCAUAACUACUGUUGUGUAGUCAAAGAAGGCCUCUGUUUACAAGCUUUUGCUGAAGGAUGAGUCCGCGUACCAUUAGCUGGUUGGUGGGGUAAUGGCCUACCAAGGCUACGAUGGUUAGCUGGUCUGAGAGGAUGAUCAGCCACACUGGAACUGAGAUACGGCCCAGACUCCUACGGGAGGCAGCAGCUAAGAAUAUUCCGCAAUGGACGAAAGUCUGACGGAGCGAACGCCGCGUGGAUGAAGAAGGCCGAAAGGUUGUAAAGUUCUUUUGCUAGGGGAGAAGUAAGUGAGGGAGGGAAUGCCCUCAUGAUGACAAGGACUAGCGAAUAACGCCCCGG
rnacentral:rRNA from 1 species